AUCAAGUUAGUUUAUUUAAAACAUCAAUUUGUGGAAUUGAAAAUAAAAAGAAUUUUUACUUGAUC
rnacentral:tRNA from 1 species